rnacentral:lncRNA from 1 species
GGAGGGUAGUAACAGAGAGAAUGCUAAUUUGUUACGAGAAGGUGAUUUAUCUUGUUUCCAAUACAAUGUUGAUGUAAUUGGAACAGCGAAGACUUCGUUCCUUGAUUCGGAUUAUGACAAGCUGGUUUGGUAUGUGCUAAGCAAUUGUGAAGAGGUUGAGCCAUAUAUCGUGUACGUAAUCUGUCAUGCAAAUGAUUGUACUGCUAUUAUUUCAGUCCAAUUUUC